rnacentral:rRNA from 1 species
CAGUAGCCGCGGGAAUACGGAGGGGGCUAGCGUUGUUCGGAAUUACUGGGCGUAAAGCGCACGUAGGCGGCUUUGUAAGUCAGAGGUAAAAGCCCGGGGCUCAACCCCGGAAUUGCCUUUGAGACUGCAUCGCUUGAAUCCAGGAGAGGUGAGUGGAAUUCCGAGUGUAGAGGUGAAAUUCGUAGAUAUUCGGAAGAACACCAGUGGCGAAGGCGGCUCACUGGACUGGUAUUGACGCUGAGGUGCGAAAGCGUGGGGAGCAAACAGGAUUAGAUACCCCGGUAGUCCCUGUCUCUUAUAC